rnacentral:rRNA from 1 species
UACGGGGGGGGCAAGCGUUGUUCGGAAUUACUGGGCGUAAAGGGCUCGUAGGCGGCCAACUAAGUCCGACGUGAAAUCCCCAGGCUUAACCUGGGAACUGCGUCGGAUACUGGAUGGCUUGAAUUCGGGAGAGGGAUGCAGAAUUCCAGGUGUAGCGGUGAAAUGCGUAGAUAUCAGGAAGAACACCCGUGGCGAAGGCGGCUCUCUGGGACGGUACUGACGCUGAGACGCGAAAGCGUGGGGAGCGAACAGG